GAUGAACGCUGGCGGCGUGCCUAAUACAUGCAAGUCGAGCGAAUGGAUUAAGAGCUUGCUCUUAUGAAGUUAGCGGCGGACGGGUGAGUAACACGUGGGUAACCUGCCCAUAAGACUGGGAUAACUCCGGGAAACCGGGGCUAAUACCGGAUAACAUUUUGAACCGCAUGGUUCGAAAUUGAAAGGCGGCUUCGGCUGUCACUUUUGGAUGGACCCGCGUCGCAUUAGCUAGUUGGUGCGGUAAGGGCUCACCAAGGCAACGAUGCGUAGCCGACCUGAGAGGGUGAUCGGCCACACUGGGACUGAGACACGGCCCAGACUCCUACGGGAGGCAGCAGUAGGGAAUCUUCCGCAAUGGACGAAAGUCUGACGGAGCAACGCCGCGCGAGUGAUGAAGGCUUUCGGGUCGUAAAACUCUGUUGUUAGGGAAGAACAAGUGCUAGUUGAAUAAGCUGACACCUUGACGGUACCUAACCAGAAAGCCACGGCUAACUACGUGCCAGCAGCCGCAGUAA
rnacentral:rRNA from 1 species